GGCCAUUCCCAGCAGGUGAACCCCGGUCCCAGGAGAGCGGUUGGUGGAGGUCACCAGUGUGGCCACACUGUCACGUUCUCUUGUCGUCACUCUAAUCCCUGCCUCUGCCAGGGUCCUGGGGAUGUGGGUACAGCUGGCAGGCCCCGGGGCUCCCGCACGGCACACAACGCCCCGCCCAGUCGUCAUCCUGGGGCCAUUGCCCUGAACUGGGAGAUGAGACUCUGAGCGCCUCGGUGUGGAGAGACCCAGUAAUUACCUGGCAGGAAAUAUUUUCUGCCCUGGAAAACCCAGAGGAGACACACUUGGGUUCGAGGCAUGACCCGCAAAACUCUCCUGGGAGUUCAGAAAACGUGGAAGGAAGGAGCCGGGGCCACGAGGGGCAUGUCAGGCGGGUUCCAGGCGGCUGGGAGGCUCCUCACGAUGCACCACCCUUCACCGUGCAGGGAACCCCGGCCGCCGC
rnacentral:lncRNA from 1 species